AUUAGAUACCCUGGUAGUCCACGCAGUAAACGAUGAAUGCUAAUUGUCCGGAGGGAUUGACCUCUGGGUGAUACAGCGAAAGCGUUAAGCAUUCCACCUGGGGAGUACGCCGGCAACGGUGAAACUCAAAGGAAUUGACGGGGGCCCGCACAAGCGGAGGAACAUGUGGUUUAAUUCGAUGAUACGCGAGGAACCUUACCCGGGCUCAAACGCGACAGGGAUACUUUUGAAAGGAGGUAGUCCUACGGGACCUGUCGCGAGGUGCUGCAUGGUUGUCGUCAGCUCGUGCCGUGAGGUGUCGGCUUAAGUGCCAUAACGAGCGCAACCCCCACCGACAGUUGCCAACAGGUCAAGCUGUGCACUCUGUCGGGACUGCCGGCGCAAGCUGCGAGGAAGGCGGGGAUGACGUCAAAUCAGCACGGCCCUUACGUCCGGGGCGACACACGUGUUACAAUGGCGGCCACAGCGGGAAGCCAGGCGGCGACGCCGAGCGGAACCCGAAAUCCACUCUCAGUUCGGAUCGGAGUCUGCAACCCGACUCCGUGAAGCUGGAUUCGCUAGUAAUCGCGCAUCAGCCAUGGCGCGGUGAAUACGUUCCCGGGCCUUGUACACACCGCCCGUCAAGCCAUGGGAGCCGAGGGCGCUUGAAGUGCGUCGCCGCAAGGCGCGCCCUAGAGCGAAAUCGGUGACUGGGGCUAAGUCGUAACAAGGUACC
rnacentral:rRNA from 1 species